rnacentral:lncRNA from 1 species
AUAUGGCAUUGUCCACAUGUACAUACCAACAAAAAAAAAGACAUGUCCAAAUGUUAGCUAAGAAUAUGGCAUUGUCCACAUGUACAUACCAACAAAAAAAAGACAUGUCCAAAUGUUAGCUAAGAAGAAGCAACGAAAAUUGAAUACACUACUCCCCCAUUUCCUAAAUAUAAGACAUUUUAAAGAUUUAAAUAUAGAUUACAUACGGAUGUAUAUAUAGACAGAGUGAUUUCACUCAUAUUGCUCUGUAUGUGGUUUAUAUUAAAAUAUAUAAAAUAUCUUAUAUUUAGGAACAAAGGGAGUACAUGACUACCACAAGAAAACAAAGUGUAGACAAUUCACUCAUGUGAUUCUUACCACAAGAAACACAAAAUGAACAUACCAUGAGUUGACACGUACACGAUUUAGUUAUUCUCAUAUGAAGAUUGUGAUCUUGAGGGCCAACUAAAGAAGUGUAUUUCAGGUUGGCUUUUUCUUUUUCCAAAAAAAGAGAGAGGGGCAGCCCCGCCUCUGCCUCAUACGAUGCAGUUUUGGGAAAACGUCAUUGUUUACCCGAUUGAUCGUAGAGCACCCGUCGGUCACCUUCGGGUGACCCAUUCAAUCUACCUUUCAUUGAACGGUGCACAACACCCUAUACCAUAGGCUAGCUUUUGCAGCGUGACCCUUGUUACAUUCCCUUCGAGCAAACCAAGGGCAUGUUACAAAUGGGGUGGGGUGAGGUUAGGGCGUGCGGACCAAGAUGAGACUAUAGCGGGAACAUUCCAAUCCUCGGCGGCAGAGACCGACCAUGAUGAGGCAUGAACCAUCCUGCAAUACCAACUUGUUGCAGCUACUCCAUGGUGGUGGUAGGAGCCGAGAAUGUCUGUCACGACGAUAGAUGAAACAUGGGCCCUUGUUCAUCCAAGCAUCCCCGUACAAUGUGGUUUAAUG